AUACGUAGGGAGCGAGCGUUGUCCGGAAUUACUGGGUGUAAAGGGAGCGUAGGCGGGACUGCAAGUCAGAUGUGAAAUACCGGGGCUUAACCCCGGAGCUGCAUUUGAAACUGUGGUUCUUGAGUGAGGUAGAGGUAAGCGGAAUUCCUAGUGUAGCGGUGAAAUGCGUAGAUAUUAGGAGGAACAUCGGUGGCGAAGGCGAGUUACUGGGCAUGUACUGACGCUGAGGCACGAAAGCGUGGGGAGCAAACAGGAUUAGAUACCCUGGUAGUCCACGCUGUAAACGAUGAUGACUAUGUGUGGGGGGACUGAACCCUUCCGUGCCGCAGGUAACACAAUAAGUAAUCCACCUGGGGAGUACGGCCUCAAGGUUGAAACUCAAAGGAAUUGACGGGG
rnacentral:rRNA from 1 species